rnacentral:rRNA from 1 species
GACCAACCUCGCCCCAUGCUCCAGAAUAGCUCUUGGAAACGGGUGGUAAUGCUGGAUGCUCCAACUUGACGCAUGUCUUGUUGGGAAAGUGUUUAGUGGCAUGGGAUGGGGUCGCGUCCUAUCAGCUUGUAGGCGGGGUAAUGGCCCACCUAGGCUUCGACGGGUAGCCGGGCCUGAGAGGGCGGACGGCCACAUUGGGACUGAGAUACGGCCCAGACUCCUACGGGAGGCAGCAGCU